rnacentral:misc_RNA from 1 species
AUAUUCAUCCAAUCCAAAUAUAUCAGUCUCGUUUACAAGCAUUCCUUUCAAUUUUUCAAUUUCUUUUACUUCUUUUGUUCCCCUCAUUUUUCCUUUUGCUGGGUGGGAGACCAGAGGGAGAAAUAGGUCAAAAAUCACAAUUAAUAAUGAAUCAAUCUGGUAUCUAUUACUGCAACUGCUCACUCCAGUCCUUCGAUUGUUGAGCAUCCUCUAGAUCUGUUCAAAUUCCAAAUUGGAGAACACAAGCAUCAACUCCAGCAAAAACAUGUGAAACUGGAGCAAGCAACUACUCAUCAUCGCUAGAGUAGUACUCUUGCUAACAGCUGCUCUAAUCUGAGCUACAACUCUCUUUCAAUCUAAACCCCAC